rnacentral:rRNA from 1 species
ACGAACGCUGGCGGCGUGCUUAACCCAUGCCAGUCGCACGGAAAGGCCCUGCUUGCAGGGUACUCGAGUGGCGAACGGGUGAGUAACACGUGGGUGAUCUGCCCUGCACUUCGGGAUAAGCUUGGGAAACUGGGUCUAAUACCGGAUAGGAGCCAUCUUUAGUGUGGUGGUUGGAAAGUUUUUUCGGUGUAGGAUGAGCUCGCGGCCUAUCAGCUUGUUGGUGGGGUAAUGGCCUACCAAGGCGGCGACGGGUAGCCGGCCUGAGAGGGUGUACGGCCACAUUGGGACUGAGAUACGGCCCAGACUCCUACGGGAGGCAGCAGUGGGGAAUAUUGCACAAUGGGCGCAAGCCUGAUGCAGCGACGCCGCGUGGGGGAUGAAGGCCUUCGGGUUGUAAACUCCUUUCGCUAGGGACGAAGCUUUUUUGUGACGGUACCUAGAUAAGAAGCACCGGCUAACUACGUG